UCCGUAGGUGAACCUGCGGAGGGAUCAUUACCGAGUUGAUUCGGGCUCCGGCCCGAUCCUCCCACCCUUUGUGUACCUACCUCUGUUGCUUUGGCGGGCCGCGGUUCUCCGCGGCCGCCCCCCUCCCCGGGGGGUGGCCAGCGCCCGCCAGAGGACCAUCAAACUCCAGUCAGUAAACGAUGCAGUCUGAAAAACAUUUAAUAAACUAAAACUUUCAACAACGGAUCUCUUGGUUCUGGCAUCGAUGAAGAACGCAGCGAAAUGCGAUAAGUAAUGUGAAUUGCAGAAUUCAGUGAAUCAUCGAAUCUUUGAACGCACAUUGCGCCCUUUGGUAUUCCGAAGGGCAUGCCUGUUCGAGCGUCAUUACAACCCUCAAGCUCUGCUUGGUAUUGGGCACCGUCCUUUGCGGGCGCGCCUCAAAGACCUCGGCGGUGGCGUCUUGCCUCAAGCGUAGUAGAACAUACAUCUCGCUUCGGAGCGCAGGGCGUCGCCCGCCGGACGAACCUUCUGAACUUUUCUCAAGGUUGACCUCGGAUCAGGUAGGGAUACCCGCUGAACUUAAGCAUAUCAAUAAGCGGAGGA
rnacentral:rRNA from 1 species